rnacentral:tRNA from 1 species
GGCUCCGUAGUUCAAUGGAUAGAAUAUAAGUUUCCGGAACUUAGGAUGUAGGUUCGAUUCCUACCGGGGCUA